AAUUUGCCUUACGCUGUCCGAAAGCGAAAAACAAAGGAGAGCUUUAGCAGUGGAAAAUUCCCAGCUCCGGCAUUGCCGAAAUGAUGCAGCCUCUCCACAUGAGGACUUCGUGCUCUUCCUUCCAGGGGUGUCUGCAUAUUAAGAAGAUUGGAUAGUGACUUUACAGUGAUGAAACCUGUUAAGAUACCAUCUUAACCAGUGGAUCAUCACUGGUAGCUGGACAUAUCAGAAUCAUGUGCCCCUGAUAUAUGAUUUGCUUAGAAGGGUAUGUCACCUCUGUUACUUUUCACAAAAAUUCAUGGCCUUAACCAUGGAAAAAGAUCAAACUCAAACUGAGGACCUGACCAGUAAUCUUUAAAAAUGUCAAGGUCACUACUUUAGGUGAAGGGAAAGACAACAUUCAAUACAGGGGAGGUCAGCACAACUGGACUGGACCAAAAAGCAAAGAAGUCUCCUGAAUAAACUGAAUGCUUCAAAGGUCAGCGGAGCAAGUGUGGGGGUUUGGGGACUACGGUUUCAGGGGACAUCUAAGUCAAUUGGCAAAAUCUAUUAGGAAAACGUUCCACAUCCCACUUUGAAGUGUGGCAUCUGGGGUCUUAAACACUAACAAGCGGCCAUCUAAGAGAUGCAUCAAUGAGUCUCAACCCACCUGGAUCAAAGGAGAAUGAAGAACACCAAGGUCAUAAGGUAAUUAUGAGCCCAAAAGACAGAAAGGGCUACAUGAACUAGAGACUACAUCAUCCUGAGACCAGAAGAACUAGAUGGUGCCCAGCCACAACCGAUGACUGCCCUGACGGGGAACACAACAGAGAACCCCUGAGGGAGCAAGAGAGCAGUGGGAUGCAGACCCCAAAUUCUCAUAAAAAGACCAGACUCAGUGGUCUAAGACUAGAAGAAUCCUGGUGGUCAUGGGCCCCAAACCUUCUAUUGGCCCAGGACAGGAACCAUUCCCAAAGCCAACUCAGCAGACAUGGAUUGGACUGGACAAUGGGUUGGAGAGAGAUGCUGAUGAGGAGUGAGCUACCUGAAUCAGGUUGACACUUGAGACUAUGUUGGCAUCUCCUGUCUGGAGGGGAGAUGGGAGGGUAGAGGGGGUGAGAAACUGGCAAAACAGUCACGAAAGGAGACUGGAAGGAGGGAGCGGGCUGACUAAUUAGGGGGAGAGUAAGUGGGAGUAUGUAGUAAGACGUAUAUAAGUUUAUAUGUGAAAAACUGACUUGUAAACUUUCACUUACAGCACAAUACUUUAAAAAAAAAUAUUGCACAAAAGAAUGUCAGUGUUGUCAAAGACAGAACAAAUGAUGACCUGUCACACGUUGGGGGACUAAGAUGUGGUAAGCAGCCCUGGUGGCGCAGUGGCUAAGUGCUCAGCUGCUAACCAAAAGGUUGGUAGUUCAAACCCACUAGCUGCUCCAUAGAAGAAAGACGUGAUACUCUGCUUCUGUAAAGAUUACAGCCUCCUAUGGGGCAGUUUUACCCUGCCCUGUAGGGUCACUAUGAAUUGGAAUAAACUUGACAGCAAGUUUUUUUUUUAAGAGAUGUGACAACUAAAUGUAGUGUGGGAUGCUGGAUCUGAUCCUGGAAAAGGAAAAAGAACAUUGGUGGAAAAACUAGUGAAAUGUGAAUAAGGCCAGUAGUUUUUAGUCACUGUUAUUUUACCAAUGUUAAUGUAUUAGUUUUGAUAACUGUUCCAUGGUUAUGUGGGAUGUUAACACUGGGAGAAGCCAGGUGAGGGGUGUGCAGGAGCUCUCUGUACUAUCUUUGCAACAACUCUGCAAAUCUUAAAUUAUUUCAAAAUAAGAAAUUGAAAAAAAAAAAAAAAAGGAUCCAAAACAAUGAUUAUUGAAUGCUGGGAACAUUAGGGAAGCAUUUAGCAAGGGGCAGAAGCAGCGAUUCGACCCCAAAACAUCCUGGAAGACAGGCACAUGAAGGCUCAUAACUAUCAUCUUAUAUAUGGAGAACCAGAUGAGAGAAGUGCAAGGAUUCAACAAGAUUACAACCCCAGACAGAAUGCCAACAGUUCUGGAGUCAGAAUGAGGGUGAGUAAGGAGCUGGAUAUAGUUUUCCAGUCUCAUAUAGGGUCUUGAGUGGCAGGCUUAGGAGUUUAUUCUGUGGUAAUGGAGGAACCGCUAAGAUUUUAAGCAGGGGGAGGCAUUGAGACUAAGGUCUUCCACAGUUCAUUCUGAGGCAGCACAGAGGACAGACUGGGGGGGGGGAGAAUGGACACAACAAGGACAGAGGGCUGCCACGGUCACUGAGUUAGGGAUGAGGGAUGUGGGCUGCAGCAGUGGGGGCACCUCUGAAGGAAGAGAUUCAAUAAGUUUUGGAGGUAGGUUUGACAGGAUUUGGAAACUAAUUAGAUGGGAAGGCUGAGUUGGUUGCGAAGACUCCUAGGGUUGUGAUUUGUGAACAGCAAUAUAGCAGAAGAGUUAAGCACACAGGCUUUGGAGUCUCAUAGUCUUGGAUUCCAACUUGUACCCUUGUCACCGAAUAGCUAUGGAAACUUCAGCAAGUUAUUUACUUUCAGCCUGUAUUUUCUCAUCUGUAAAACAGAGACAGUCAUCCCUUACCGAAAGUGGAUGAGAUGAUAAAAUGACAACACAUGUAGCAUAUCUAGCAGUGUCUGGCACAUAGUAAUAAAUGUUGGCAGUUGUUCUGGGACUAAGUGACUACAGGAGUGGCAUUGCUCACUAGGAUGGGGAAGAUAAAUAUCAAGAGCAGGUCUGAUGGCAAGUUCUCAAGCUCCUUCCCUGUGCAGAGCUUUGAGGAAAUCCCUUGCCCACAGCCACAGUCACUCUUUGCUGAGCAGGAAAACUCUCUUCUCUUUGUCAACCAGUAAGAUUCCCCUAGACACCACCUUCCCCCACCCAAGUGUCCUGGCCACAAAGCAGCUCUUGCUAUAAUGCUACAGAACUGACAAAUGAGAUGGGCCGGGAGUAACAGCAGUUCCUGUUCUGGCAUUACACAAUGUAAAACACUCUUCUUCAAAGUUCAGAGAACAUUGAGGCAGCGACAGCCGAGUCCCAGUUUGAUGCUUGUAUGGGGUCUGGGGCUGGAGAGCCAACCAAUGUCAGUUAAGAACAGCUAUCUAUUUCCCGAUGAAAGGCUUCCUCACUAUGAGGGGACGUGUCUUCCCCCACUGAACUAGCAUGUUCUAGCUUAUAUGGGGCAGAUUAAAUAGAAUAUGCUCUCCUCUUCAGGACUGGGAGGAGCCUGCAAUUUCUGUCCUCCAAGCACUGUCAGAUUAGCAUAUUAAAAAAUUUCAAUUCCCUUAGCCUCUCUCCACUGGUACCAUUUUAAAUGAGAGCAUGAUCAUCUCAUUUCCUGACAGAAAAAGGCCUACUGAAGCCUGUGAGCAGGCCAGGUUGUUGAGAAGAGUUGGCCUUGGUAGCUACUAGGGGUUCUCUACUCAGCAGCCAUGAUUGGGGUCUGUAGAGCACCUUUCACUGUCUCAGGAAAAUAAUUCAGGUGAAGUCCCUGUGUUUGGCACUGUCCCAGAUAUGUUCCAUCUUUAUUUUCUCCAACAUAGGAGCCAAAUCUAAUCUCACCAGAGUGGGUCUUUCUAGUUUUUUUUUCCUAUCUACUCACAAUACAGACAGGCUAUAACCUGCCCACUUACAAAAGCAGAAAGACAGGAAACUAUAGGACCUGCUCACAUAGGUAGUUUCCCUGUAGGUAGGGAACACUUUUUUACCCAAGACUAACAGAAAAGUGUGCAAAUGAAGGACGAAAAAUGUUUAAUUAUAAACAUAACAUAUUCUUACACCUUUUAAGAAAAACUCAAGCGAGGCAGGCCCCGUAAGGACCUUUAUAAAAGCACGUGACUCCUGUAAUGGUUGUAGAGUUACCUGAGUACUUGAAAUUACAGUCCAAGGAAACAAAGGAGCUCCAGUACAGUAUUAUACAAUCCAGUGCUGCCAUUUAGUUAAUGAAAGCAUAUAUACAAUUUUGCAAAUAACUCUAAAAGAAAAACAAAAAGGAGGGGGGCUGGAGAUACCAACAAUUACUAGGUAGAAGUAAUUAACCCCAAAGGUGUUUAGAUGGAUGGAGUUAUAUCCAACAAGGAGGGAUACAAACACAGAGAAGUCUAAUUUCUAUGAUUCACUCAGAUACCCGUGAGUCACCCCUGAUAACAUUUCAAGUUACUAACCAGAUAAGAAAAAGCCGCAAAGUGGGCUUGACUGACAUAGUUUGUUUAGGAUGAGACCUUUGUGGGUAUUUGAGUUAUGUUCUACUAAAAUUUCUGAUGAACUGCCAUUGGUAUAUCAACCUCUUAAUGAAAAAUUAGUAUCUGAAUUUUAAAUAGAGUUAUUGUAAGUCUUAUGAAAUGGGAUUCUUCUGCAGCAGGAAAUCAUUACUAUGGGUGGCUGGAUCAGUUUUACCAACUCCGUUUGAUGAAAACAAGUGAAGGUCCUUUCCACCUGAUCCAGGCUAUGGAAUGCUGCCUUUUCCAACCCCCCAAAUAGAAGAAUAAGGCAACUGUCACUUUACUUUGUUUUUAUUUCAAUGUAACAUGCAGUAAAAAAAAGAGAAAAAAAUUAACAAGGGUUUAUUAGCAUUUACAAUGCUUACAAGAAAAAGGACUCUAAAAAGCAAUUUAGUUUAGAUUUAAGAAAUUGCUCUAAUUUAACACUUACAAUAAAUCUAUUUCCAACUGUUCAGUUUGGAUCAAAAUUUAAGAUAGCAUUUGGUAGAUAUUUAUGUCUGCUGACUAACUGCAAUAUUUUUCUAUAACCUCUGAUUCUUGGGAUAUCCAGCCCCCAUUUUCCUAACACAGCAGGGAAGACAUAUACAUGUGGCCAUUUAAAUUAAAGGAAGAAAUGGAGUAAGGGAGAUCCCAGGCUGCAAAAAUAUAUACAAGCAUUUACCUUUUCCAGAACUAAAUGUUUCUUCCAUAAAAAUAUUAAAUAGCCAAGCCCUAUAGAACUAGGGCCAGGGCUACUUCAAAUAUAACUAUUCUGUAUUUUAAAAAUAUAGGGCAGAAAGCCUUUUAGGUGGUAUUUAUACAUUUCACACAAUAUUUCUAGGUCUCUAAAUGAAUCAUGAAGCAUUAUGUAGAACAACAAAAAAAGCUACUUUCUUACAUUAUCUCUUAAUUUAAUCUCAUAAAUCUCUUGUAAAUAUUGUAGGUAACUACAUUUCAAUAUGAGAAUUCACUUCAAGAGUAAGUCUUUAUAGAAGGCUUAAUCUCCAUAGCCAUGUAUUGCCGAAGUUUAGACUUGUAUAAUGAAUGGGUAGUUGGCAGACAUUCGCUCUGUAAGACAAAGCAAUAGCAUUUUUUUUUCUCCCAACCAAUAAAAAGGCAGAGAGUCCCUACUUUGAAAACAACUAGGGCUUCUGGAGACCAUACUACAUUUCCAGGGGUAUAUGGACUAAAAAAUAAAAUAAGAGUUGGGCUGAGCCUAAUCUCCCCCUUUAUACUAACAAUCUCUGGAUGAGGCAACCCCCUUUUACUCACCUUAGUCUCUGCUUUAUGAUGGCAGUGUCUUAGAGUACAGAUACACAAGAUAAAAAAAAGUUUUCGUUGUUGUUUCAAGAUUUAAAUGGGGACAAAAAGACAUUACUUUCCAUAUGGGAUAGGGGUUUGUUAGUCUAUGCUUACUCUUGACUCAAUGCUACUUGUUUGUGCUACGCUACUAAAACCUGUCAAAGUCCCUGUUUCAUGAGUUAUGAGGCUGUCCCCAGAGUUCAGCUGUGACAGCUAAACUCAGGUGGCUUAGGCUUCAUCCCACUGUCCAUAAAGUAAAAUCUGUGACAGCAGCCAUCUCAACAGAGUCUAAGUUAGGCCAAGUUAAAAGAAAUGAAGUACAGAAAAGUUCAAAGUGCAUUAAUUCACUACUAAAGGAGCAGUCUAAACAGUUAAUGGGGGGGAAAAAGGAAAACCUAAAUUUUCAAGGGUGAAAAGAAUAUCACAGGUGAGGGAUGUUAAUCCAAUUCAGGAUAAUGUAAAGAACGGAAAUAACUACUUCAGCUAUGUGUCAGAGAAAUGAUAAAUCUGAAGACUUAAUCCACAGAGAAUACAUUUCUGUGGUUACUAGAUGGUGAUGCUUCCUUUUUUAGUUAGUACCACAGCUCUCCCAAAUUAAAACGUAAUUUCAGAGGAUGUUUCAUUGACUUCUAUUUGGACUAGAAAGCACUCUGGUUACACCUUUAGCUGCUUGGUAAUAACUAAAUAUAACUGAAGUUGGUGGAUUAUGAUAAAACCAUAAAGAUGCAAACUCUUCCCAUACAAAAAUCUUCACUGAUGGCUUUAGACAAAUUCAGCUAAAUUAAUUCCAAUUCUAGGUUAACUUUUAUAAACAACAGUGAAGGAACCACAGUGUUAAUAUUGUUUGUAAAGUUUAGUAUUCACAAGGCAAUUAAAUAAUCAAAUUUUCCAAAUGAAGAGAGGUAUGAAGUCAAUUGCAGGCUGAGACGGACUUCUCCCUGAAUUCAGAUUGACAAAGCUAUUUUGUAGACAGAUGUAAAAGUCCUGCAUCGCUUCCAAGUAUAACAUCAAAAUGAUGCCUGGAUUCAUGCUCCAGAAAGGAAAACAACAGUCAGGCCAGGCUGAAGUGAGAGGGACAGCAAAAGCCAGACGUCUGCUCAUGGUCCCCAAGAGCUGGGUUAAGCUUGUACUUUUAACAAAUGCCUCUUACCAAGAGGCUUAAUAUGAAGAUCUUGCAUAUUACAGUUACCAAGGGACUUGCCCACAUACCUGCAGAAUCUUUAAAAAACCUACUCCCAAAGUGAGACUUAACACACAUAUAUAAAAUUGUUGGUAAGGAAAAAAUCUAGUGGAAUAAAACAAGGCAGAUUUCAUUGCUGUGUUAAAUCUGAAGUUACGUAAGGUUUUGACUAGUCGUUUGCAGAUCUGAUUUCUGGAAAUGCUGAGUAGAAUUCUAUCCAGAAUCACUGGGAGAUAAAUCUCAAUGAUAACAUUAAUUUACUUACACAAAGAUAACUCUCUAAACAGUCACAGUCCAAUUUACAACAAGAUGUGCAACAGGCAGAGAGAGAAAAGGACAAACAUUAUAAAUGUGUUCUUGUCCUCUGAUGGUGCAAAUCCUCAGAAGCUAUUCUUGUCCAAAUCCUUCUGUUUCUUCAAUGGCAAACAGCAGCUUUUCCUUCAGUUGCUCGUAACUCUUAUAGGGUGGCAGGUCCAGGCGGUUAAAACUAAAAGUAAUAAUUGUUAGUAAUGAUUGAGAAAAGGAAAUAUACAAAGAAUCAUACGGGCAUUAUACCAUAGCAAAACUGGCUUUAAACUCAGGCAAAACUGGGUUCAAAUCCCAGCUCUGUCACUGGGUCUUUGAACAAGUGCUUUAACCUUUCCAAGUUUCAGUUUCGUCUCUGGUAAAAUGGGAAUAAUAAUCCCUACCUCUCGGGGUAGAGGGAAGCAGCAGCAAGCACAUGACAUACUGCCUGGUGCAGUAAGUACUCAAUAAAAUGUUAGUCCUUUCCAUGCUCACCUCUCCACCUCAAUUCUUCAUCAGAGAUUAGCCAACUUUUUCUGUAAAGGCGCUACCUCGGAAAGGGCCAGUAAAAGGGUCAGCUAUUUUAGGCUUUGCAUGCCAUAAGGUCUCUUUUCAAAACAUUUUAAGACCUCUACAAUAAAAAGACAAUCCAAUUAAAAAUGGGCAAAGGAUAAGCAGUAACUUCGGUGAAGGGUAAGAUGGUACACAAUCCUGGGGAAGUCAGCGCAACUUGACCAGGGCAAAGUUAUAGAAGCUUCAUAGACAAUCCCAAAUGUCCUGAGAGAACAAGCUACUGGGCUGAGGGCUGGAGGCCAUGGUCUCGGGAGACAUCUAGUUCAACUGGCAUAACACAGUCUAUAAAGAAACUGUUCUACAUCCAACUGUGCUGAGUAGCAUCUGGGGUCAUAGAAACCUGCUAGUGGCCAUCUAAGAUACAUCUAGUGGUCCCAUCCCAGCUGGAACAAAGGAAAGUGAAAAAGACCAAAGACAUACGGGAAAGGUUAAUCCAAAGGACUAAUGGGCUAAAACUACCAUAACCUCCACCAGACUAACCCCAGAAGAACUAGAUGGUGCCAAGAUACCACUACGAACUGCUCUGGCAAGGAUGACAAUAGAGGGUCCUGGGCAGAGCAGGAGAAAAACGUAGAACAAAAGUAAAAUUCACCAAAACAAACAAACAAAAAAACCAAGCGUGCUGGUCUGACGGACAUUGGAGAAACCCUGCGAGUAUAGCCCCUGGACACCCUUUUAACUCCGUACUUAGGUCACUCCCAAGGUUCACCCUUCAGUCAAAGAUUAGACAGGUCUAUAGGGCCAACAAUAACACAUGUGAGGAACAGGCUGCAUAGUUCAAUUGAUGCAUAAGAGACUGAUGGGCACAACAGCACCAAAGCAAAGAACAGAAGGCAGAAAGGGACUGGAAAACUGGAUGAAUGGAAAUAGGGAAGAGAACUUGAAGCACUUAUUGAUGAUGAUCAAAGACCACAGUCUUCAGUAUGGAUUACACCUCAACAUAAAACAAAAAUCAUCACAACUGGAACAAUAAGCAACAUCAUGAUAAACAGAGAAAACACUGAAGUUGUCAAGGAUUUCCUUUUACUUGGAUCCACAAUCAACACCCAUGGAAGCAGCAGUCAAUAAAUCAAAAGAUGCACUGCACUCGGCAAAUGUGCUGCAAAAAGACUUCUUUUAAGUGUUGAAAACCAAAGAUGUCACCCUGAAGACUAAGGUGUGCCGGACCCAAGCCAUGGUGUUUUCAGUCACCUCAUAUGCAUGUAAAAACUAGACGAUGAAUAAGGAAGAACUGAAAUCUCUGAAUUGUGGUGUUGGCGAAGAAUAUUGAAUGUACCAUGGACUGCCAAAAGAAUGAACAAAUCUGUCUUUGAAGAAGUACAACCAGAAUGCUCCUUAGAAAUGAGAAUGGUAACACUUCGUCUCACAUACUUUGAACAUGUUAUUGGGAGGGACAAGUCUUGGAGACGGGCAUCAUGCUUGGUAAAGUAUAGGGUCAGCGAAAAAGAGAAAGACCUUCAACGAGAUGGACUGACACAGUGGUUGCAACAAUGGGCUCAAGCAUAACAAUGACUGUGAGGAUGGCACAGGACCAGGCAGUGUUUUGUUCUGUUAUACACAGGGCUGCUAUGAGUCAGAACCAACUCGACAUCACCUAACAACAACAACUUUAAGAAAUUAUUUUCUGGUCUAGUAUUCUGCUCCCAUUGGCUCUCUGUGCUAUUCUUAGUUUGCGAACUUUUAAAAGGCAUCUUGAUAUUUUAGGCCAUAUCAGCAUCAACAUCACAAGGUAACAGAUGAUAAAUGUACCCUAAAGCUUUGGCCGUCUGCUGUAUUUUUAGGAUAAGACCUAGGAAAAUGUCUGUUGACAGGGAAAUAAUGUUAUCCACAAAGGGAAAAUAAACUUACAAUGAUUUCUUUGUCACGCUUGCAAAUAAAAAACACAGAACUUGACAAAGUAAUGAGACUAGUUUUUAUGUGCGACUGAGAGAAGCUGUUCACAACAGUAUAAUUAAAGCAUAGCACAGUCUCUUUCAAGUGAGAAAAGGGCAAAUGGCUAGAGGUCAAACCAAAACACUUUUAUGUGUAAGAUCAACAUACAAAAAAGUUCAAUUGCAUUUCUAUACACUAGAAAUGAACAAUCUGAAAAUAAAGAAAACAAUUUCAUUUACAAUAGCGUCAUAAAGAAUAAAAUACUUACGAAUAAAUUUAACGAAAGAAGUAUAAGACUUGUAUGCUAAAAACUUAAAAAAACACUGUCCAGUGAAAUUUAAAAAGACAAAAAAAAAGGAAA